AUGACACUGCUGGGUCUCUUCCUGUGCUUGGUAACAGCACUGCAUGGAGUCCUGUCCCAGGUGCAGCUUCAGGAAUCUGGCCCAGGACUGGCGAAGCCCUUACAGACCCUCUCCCUCACCUGCACAGUCUCUGGAUUCUCUUUAAUGAGCUAUGCUGUUGGCUGGUCCCGCCAGGCUCCAGGGAAGGGGCUGGAGUGGAUUGGUGCUAUAUGGAGGGAUGGAAGCACAAGCUACAACCCAGCACUGAAAUCCCAACUCAGCAUCACCAGGGACACCUCUAAGAGCCAAGUCUAUUUGACACUGAACAACCUGAGAGCAGAUGACACGGCCGUGUAUUACUGUACAGGAGGCACAAACUACACCACCAACUCCAAGAGAAGAAAUGUGCCAGGGACCCAGAAGAACGUGGGGCUGUGA